UCUAUUUGGAUCUAGUCUAGGAAAUUCUCACCAAAACACAAGAAAAACUAGUCCGUUAAUCCGUCAUGCGAAAAUCUACACACUUAGAUCUAACUUCCAGUCAAUUAGCUCUUUACAUUCAUGAAGUGUAAUAGUGAAUUCUCAUCAAAGUCAUUAUUCAGGGUAGACGCCAUUUGGCAUUAAGGGCUAUUUAGGUGGUGGAGUUAAGUGUUUCCGGUUAUCUGAAUAAUCUGGAGGAUGCAAGAUAUUAUGCAAAACUGCAUGAGAGAGAUGGACCUGUUGGUGACCACAGAUUUUCAGUCACUUCUCCUUUGCCAAUUGUUGUUGCAUAAUCUUCCUCCUUUGUUGUAAACAGCUGUUCCCCCAGACUUAGAUAUUUUCCGGGAAUUUUAAAGAUGAUCUCCAAAACUCCAAAUAAUCAGAUUCAAGCUUGCCUCAAGUAUAAAAAUUGAUCCUCCUAGACUCUCUAAGGCUUUAAAUUUCCUUUCCCUUCUAUUUUUUUUUUCUUUUCUUUUACGGUUUUUUUGUUUUUUUUUUCAUAAUGAGGAAACAACCUUUUAUAGAAAGUGAGUCUAAGGGACGAAAUUGUACCAAGAUUUUGAAAUUUUUCAAGGCAAACUGAAUUUUCUCCUUUUGUUGAAUUGUUCCAAUGAAAUCGCAGGUCUUCAUCUUCAGUGACUCAAAACCGCGUUGAUCCUCUUUCUCUCUCCGACGUUUUUGCACAUAUCUGCAUAUAGGACAAUGAAAAACAAGAGUGCAUGUGGUUUGAAAGAGGUUAGGUUUGGUGGGGAACUAGCUAAGAUAAACUAGCCAUUCAGGAUCAACAAAGAGUGGUAAAAGGAUAAAAGAGUCCUGAAUGUAUGAUUCGUUUCCCUGAUCUAACGCUUUAAUGAGAAAAUUAAGUCAAAAUUAAGUCCAGAUAAAAUGAGCUAGUAUAUCCUGUCAGAAAGAAUCUCCAUGAAUAGAAGUCCUCUGGUGGGAGUUCGUAAUGCAAGUUUUCUAGCUACUGCCUAGUCUAGAACUAAAUCACAAGAGAGCAAAAAAUGAGGAAAUAGCGUAGAAGCACACUGGUCUAAAUCAUCAUAGUAAUGUUUAUUGUGUUCCUGGUUUAAAAAAUUUCAAGAAAAACUUUUUGAAAACGAUUUUUGAAAAAAUUUAUGAAAAAACUUUUGAAAAAUAUUUUGAAAAACAUUUGGAAAAACCCUUUUUUUAGAAAAAAUUUUAUGUGUCCAAAAUAAACUCAAAACAAAUCGAAUUUCGUUAAUAACGGAUGAACAUCCUCCCCCAAACUUAUUUCACACUGUCUUCAGUGUGAUAAAUCUUGGAAAGAAUGGUAAAGAAAAUUAAAAGUUGAAAUGUUUAAGAGUACUUAUCGUGCUGUAAAAUGCUGCUCGGUUUUUGUGUUUGCUCUUCCUUAGUAAAAACCUGAAAUUAAAUGAAACAGACACAAAGCAAUGGAAAUAUUAAAUAAAGGUCAAAAGGAAAUAAAUAAGAUACCGAGUGGGUUGCCUCCCACUAAGCGUUUGUUUCAAGUCGUUGGCUUGACAUUGUUUUCUCGAUUAGGCUUAUCCGGGGUCAUGAAACUCCUUGAUCUCAUCAUUGGCCGAAGGUGGAUCAAUCAAAAGCAUCACUUCUCUCUCGUCUUCUCUUUCUUCUGCCAGAUAUGGCUUUACACGCUUUCCAUUCACUGUAAAUGAGUUGCCGGUUUUGUCCCAUAUGACAAUGGCUCUGUAUGGUUUGACUUCCUUUAUCGUGAACGGUCCAGACCACCUUGAACGUAAUUUUCCUGGAAAAAGCUUAAGACAAGAAUUGAAAAGAAGAAUUUUAUCGUUAGGAGCAAAAGUUCAAUGAAUAAUCUUCUUAUCAUGAUAUGCUUUAGUCUUCUCUUUGUAGAUCUUCGAGCUUUCGUAAGCAUUGUGUCGGAUUUCUUCUAACUCGUGAAUUUGAAGUAGUCUUCUUUCUCCAGCUGUUUUUGAAUUCAUGUUCAUCUCCUUGAUAACCCAUUGGGCCUUAUACUCGAGUUCUACUGGAAGGUGACAUGCUUUUCCGUAAAUUAGGUUGAAUGGUGUUGUUCCUAAUGGCGUCUUAAAUGCUGUUUGGUACGCCCAAAAUGCAUCGUCAAGCUUGGUAGACCAAUCCUUGCGAUGAACUGCAGUUAUUUUCUGCAAAAUCGACUUGAUUUCUCUAUUUUUGAGAUCUCUACUUGACCACUGGUUUGGGGAUGGUAUAGAGAAGCAACUUUAUGCGUAACUCUAUUAUUUCUAAGAAGAUUCCUGAAAACCUUGUUGAUGAAAUGCGAUCCUCUAUCGCUUAUCACAACUCUAGGAACUACAAAACACGGGAAUAUUACAGACUUAAACAGCUUCAUGACGACUUUUGCAUCAUUGGUAGGACUAGCGACUGCUUCAACUCACUUAGAAACAUAAUUUACUGCUACUAAGAUGUAUUGGUUUCUGAAAGAAGUAGGAAACUGUCCCAUAAAGUCUAUUCCCCAGACAUCAAAAAUUUCGACUUCAAGAAUAAAAUUUUGAGCCAUCUCAUUCCUUUUGCUUAUGUUGCCCAUCCUUUGGCAUUUAUCGCAUCACGAUAUAUAAGCUUGAGUAUCUUUAAACAAAGUAGGCCACCAAAAACCUGCUUGUAAGAUCUUUGAAGCAGUUUUGAAAGUUGUGAAAUGUCCUGCGUAAGACGAGCUAUGGCAUCCAAAUAAAAUUCCUUCCAUCUCUUCUUCAGCCACGCAUCUUCGGAAUAACCCAUCAGCACAACUCUUGUAGAGAUAGGGUUCAUCCCAAAAACAAUGUCUUAUGUCUUUCAGAAACUUUUUCUUCCUAUAACCGAAAAAUUGUGGUGGUUCUACAUCAGCUGCUAGGUAAUUCGCUAUGUGCCUAAACCAUGGGGUGUUGAAAGCAUCUGAUCUUCGCAUGAGUUGCCUUGGUGGUGCGGUAUUGGCAUUGGUGGGGGUAGUAUCUAUUGCAUAGAUGUUUUCUUCCGGCAAACUAUCAUUUAAAGACAAUCUUUCUUCAACUCGGAUUCUUGAAAGAUGGUCUGCAACUCCAUUAUCUGCUCCUUUCCGAUCUCGAAUUUUGAUGUUGAAUUCUUGCAGCAGGAGGAUCCAUCUUAUCAGCCUCGGUUUGGCGUCUUUCUUAGACAUUAGAUACUUGAUUGCAGCAUGAUCAGUAUGUACUAUUACCUUAGAUCCUACGAGAUAAGAACGGAAUUUCUCAAAUGAAGUUACGACAGCUAGAAGUUCUUUCUCUGUUGUUGCAUAAAUGCAUUGAGCUUCAUCUAGAGUUCUGCUUGCGUAGUAGAUUACAUGCAGUUUCUUAUCUUUUCGUUGGCCAAGCACUGCUCCGACUGCAUAGUCACUUGCAUCGCACAUGAUUUUGAAUGGGAGUUCCCAACCAGGUGCUUGCACAACUGAAGCGGAGACAAGAGCUUCUUUUAUCUUAUGAAAUGUGGCUAAGCACUUAUCAUCGAACUCGAAGUUCGUUUCCUUGCAAAGCAAACGCGUAAGAGGUCUAGCUAUUUGAGAGAAAUUUGUUUAUGAAACGCUUAUAGAAUCCUGCGUGUCCUAAGAAACUAUGGAUGCCUUUUACGUUUGUGGGAGAUUGUAGGCUUGUCAUGACUUCGAUUUUUGCUUUGUCAACUUCAAUUCCUUUUCCCGAAAUCCUGUGCCCAAGCACGAUUCCGUCUCGUACCAUGAAGUGACAUUUUUCCCAAUUUAAUACUAAGUUCUUAUCUUCACAUCUUUACAGAACUUUACCAAGGUUGGCUAGGCAUUUUUCAAAAGAAGAUCCAUAGACCGAGAAAUCAUCCAUGAAUAUUUCCAUGAAAUAUUCGAUAAAGUCCGUGAAGAUCGACAUCAUGCACCGUUGGAAGGUAGCAGGUGCAUUACACGAUCUAAAAGGAAUACAUCGGUAAGCGAACAUGCCAUUUGGACAAGUGAAUGUCGUUUUUUCUUGAUCUUCUGGUCGAAUAGGAAUUUGGAAAAAUCUGGAGUAUCCAUCAAGGAAGCAAUAGUAGGAGUGAUUAGCUAACCUUUCUAGCAUUUGAUCUAUGAAGGGAAGUGUAAAAUGAUCUUUCCUAGUUGAUGCGUUCAGUUUCUGGUAAUCGAUGCACAUACGAUGUCCAUUGACUGUUCUUGUAGCGAUCAUUUCAUCUUUAUCGUUUUUAAUGACAGUGACUCCUCCUUUCUUCGGGAAAACAUGAACUCGGCUUACCCAAGUGCUAUCUGAGAUAGAAAAUAUUAUUCCAGCUUCUAAAAGCUUCAUAAUCUCCUUCUUGACAACAUUAAUGAGAUUAGGGUUCAGUCUCCUUUGACCUUCGAUUGAGUUUUUAGCAUUAUUGAUAACACCGUAUUUUCACCACAUUUAUGGAUCGUUUUGAAAUAUUUUUUCUAUGUUUUUACUGCUUUCAAGUACUUUUAUUACGUUUUUCUAGUAUUUGUAGUUCCAAGACUCUUUUCAGGAAACUUAGGGAAAAGCUUAACAAAAUAGAUAGAAGACCAGAUUUUCAGCUCAGAGUCAAACCGUGAGAAGUUCACCCCCGAUUCAAGGCCUUCUCAACGUCAGAUCCAGCUCGAAUUUGGAGAUCUAAAAAAGAUGGAAGUAUCAGCUUUCCAGCACACUUUACAGCUUUGCAAUCCAACGGUUCAAUCAAAAGAUACGCGAAGAGCAAGAUGUCCCGUAAACCAGCCGGCAAGCAUUUCCACCCGUGGCCAACAGCCAUUUCACCACGGUCAGAAGCUUCCCGACCGCGGCCAACCAUCCAUUCCCUGCGGCCACGCACAUCCCGACCGCGGCCAGCCAACUCCGAACUCGAAGGCCCAUUUCUGAAGUCCAAAAUUAUUCCCUUAUUUGGAGAAACCCUAAGUGAAACCCUAGAGAUGUCUUGAGCACUAUAAAUACAUGUUUUUGGAACCCUAAUUCGUAUCACCUCAUAUGCUCUUAUUGUUUUAGAAUACUUUUUGAUUUUUAGCUUUUGGGGAGAGAGAGAUUUGUCUCUUGAACCCUUAUUCUUUCUUUUUCAAUUUCGAUUAUUGCUCUACUUUUUAAUACUAUGUUUUUGAUUUCCUUCAUCAUGUCUGAGUAGUUUAAUUGUUGGGUCUAAGGAUUUUUGAUGGGGAUACAUAUGUUCGAUGAGGAUUCCAUGAGCUAUUGAAGCUAAAUCUUAGAACUUUUUCUUCUGAAUUUACUUUUACUGCAUGAGAGUAGCGUCAUGAACUACAAUCUGAUCCACAUGCUUGGUGACACGAAAGUGUUCAUCCGGUGUCAGAUCUAGUUUGGGAGAACAAAAAAAACAUAGGAGUGGAAACGUACCUAUGGGCGAUUUGUGAAUGCUGACGAGUCUUAAACAUAAUGCAUCUCUUCUCUUCCAGGGCCAGAGUGGAAACCUACUGGUUAGGGUUGAGAAUGAUAGUUGUCUAUGAUCACGACAGUGGUGUAUUCAUACGUCCGUGACUCUAGUUCGAAAAGUUUAAGCUAAGAUCUUAUCAAAUUUACUCUCUAGCAAUGUUUUGAAUCGUUCAUACCCUAGAGAAAACUUCCCUGAAACCCAGCGCCCUCUUUUCUAUAGAUUUACACCGAUUUGAUUUCAAGCUUUAGUUCAUCAUUUUCAUUCUCUUAAUCAAUUUUCACUUAAGCAAUCAGGUUUAUCCAUUUUUCUCGUUUUUAGUCGAUUUUAUUAAGUUUACUUAUCAGGUCAUUUUAAUUCUCGUAUUUUCUCGUUAAGAUUAGUUUUUACGUUUUAAAGACAUCACCAAAACCCUUAUAAAAAUCGCCUGGUUCUAGAAUUCCUUACUUUAUAUUUCUUUCGAAGGCCUUUGCAGGAAAGAUCCUCCUUCCCUGUGGAUUCGAUCUCUAAGUACUACAAUCGAUCAGCUGUGCACUUGUGGCUAUUGAUUUCAUUUAGGGUAAAACUUGACACCCUCACAACAGCAGACACAUCAAGUUUUUGGCACCGUUGCCGGGGAAGGCCCGCGUUUUCUUUUCCACAACACCCUAAGAAAGGUUGGUAAAUCGACUCUAGAACCCUUUUCUGCAUAUUUCCAUUUUUUGGUUCUUUUUGUUUCUAUCCCAGAAGCAAUGGACCCUAUAAAUCGAAAUCCCUACUGUAAGGGAGGUUUUUACAACACUCCUUAAGCCACUAGACGCAGAGAAGAACAUCAAGCCCGAGAUCUUAGCUACAUGGAUCUAUACAGCCAGCCAAAUCAUCCAUACUAGCGGCGCAGAGAGCCUGUUCGACGCCGGGAAGAUCCUUAUGGUCCUCCUCCGACCUAUUUCGAGCCACACGCCUAUCAUCCUCCACUGCAGAACCCUAAUCAGCAUGAGGACAACUUGAGGAUCAGCAGACGUUUGGAACGUCUCGAAGGAAUGAUAAACCAGUUCCUUGAUCAGCAGAUUCUUACCGAAAACACCCUGCUCAAGAGAAUUGAUUCAAUCUUUGAAGAGUUCAACAGAAAAUUUGAUGAUCUGGCCAAUCAUGUUCAAGUUCUGGAAGAACAAACCCACAAAGAUGCACAAACACUAGCUGGGAUGAUCAACAAAGUCGCAGCAGAGUAGACAAGACAAGGGUAUGACAUCAUACAAAACUCAAGUGAUAUUGUCGAAUCGAAGCAGGAGAUCAAAGAAGUUAGAGAAUUCGCAUCCUGGUAUAGAGAGAAGACAGACGAAGAGUUGCAGGAUAUCGAGCACAGGCUGAACAAACUCGAGCUCAAAGCACGGGAGAUUGAUGCAAGAAUGGAACAGAUGCCCAACAUUGAGCCAAUUGUGAGAUUUUCUAAGAAAUCUCCCAAAGAUCCUGGUGAAGAUGCACAACAACACCCCGGUAUGAGUUCAAAUGAUGCUAGUUUACCCAAGAAAGAGGCUGAAGAGGUUCGUACCAAGUACGAGAAAGAGGAAGCAAACUAUGAGCAGUUGACAUUCGGAGCCGCGGGUGCGACCAUUCUGACCGCGGCCAAGGCUCCUUUUCCCGUGGUCGCGAGGCCUCUGACCGCAGGGAUUGGUUCAGAUUCGCCUCCGGGAUUUGAUAGAAAGAUAAUACAUCUUCUGGCCCAACUUCAACCUCCAGCACCUAAAAAAGCAACUCAGGAAGAAAGAAACUAAGUUUCAGAUGAAGAAACGGAUUGGCAGGAAUCAUUACCUUGUAUGAUGGCAAUGGAAUGUGUUGAGGAUUCAGAUGACUCUUCAAUCCAAGAAGACCCGAAAUGCAGCAAGAUAAAUAUGCCAUACAUCGAUUCAAUCAUUGAAUACGACGCUGCAGCUUUCUUUUGUGACUCCUAUUCUGCGUUUGAAACACCAGCCAACGCUUACAGAGAAAGAAAAGUUCGAACUCUCCAUAAGGUCAAGACUGUAGGUCAGUUUCUCAUCUCUUGUUCCAUUAAAGGUGAAAUGUUUAAAGAUGUAUUUUGUGAUUCUGGAGCUUGUCUUAACAUGAUGUCCAAGGCCAUUGCUUCGAGACUUGUUAUUAAGCACCUGCGCAGGACUAGAGCAAAGAUUAUUCUAGCUGAUGAUUCCAAUGCAACACCUCAAGAAUAGCUCAUGACAUUCCUUUGAGAAUUGGAGAUUGCAUCGUGCCUGUCGACUCUACAUUGUCGAAACAAGGGAAGCAGCACAUACAGUGAUUCUCGGAUUGUCUUUUCUAGCAACUUCCUGAGCUAUAAUGGACUGGCAAAACCGAAGGAUUUCAUUUGCUAAUACCGACAAAUAUUUCUUCACAGAAGCUGUCCCAUACAACAGCAAAUCAGGAAAACGUUCUUGAUAUGUUCAUAAUUUGCAUCAUUUAGGUUGCAUAAUUCAUUCUAAAUCAUGUUUUAUUCCAUGCAUUUUAGGUCCUUAGGGUUUGUUUUAGAACUUAGGAGAUGCAGUAGGUCCCAACGAGUCUUUGCAUGUUUUGAGUGUUUAUCAGGUGCAUUUGGAGCUGAAAAGAUGAAUCCAGGAGGUGGAAUGGUGAUCAAAGCUUGAAAAGUGGCAAAAUGGAGUCUUUGGAGGUUAUCGGCCAUUCUCGCUGACCAGGAGGGUUUUUCACGGCCAUUCUCGCGUACCAGGAAAGAUUUUACCGGCCAAAACACGUACCACGGGUAGAUUUCAUCGGCCAAAACGCGUACCGGUUAAAGCAUCUCUCGGCCAAAAUCUCCGGGUGCAGACACGUUUCCGAAAUCGCCUGUCCGGGGAGCUUUUCGGUCCGAUUCAGAUGGCGGGUGCUUCAUAGAAGUUGGAGAGGAUUGGAGCACGGUUUCCUAGCAAGUGGAAUCACGGAAUUCGGACGCGGGAGCAGAGAGUUAAGCUCGUCAGAAGAAACCCUUGUCUCGCUGCUGUUUUGGACCAAGCCGAUGAGCUCUGAAGAAUGCGAAGGACGGUGUACUUCCAGGCCGAUUCAGUUUCCGGGGCCUUCAUGAGAAUCCGAGAAAAUUGAGUCUUCUAUCGAGAACGUCUGAGAUCAUUCAAUUCGGAGCAACGAGCAGGAAGAUACGGUCUCCGGAAUGGACACAUGUCUAGACGCCACUCUCUGUUCGUGUAAAUUCACUGCAAAGAUGUGCCCUCCAGGAAGCCUUCCACUUCCCAAGCACCGAAUCUUCCUUCACCGAAGUUGGGGAUAAAUGAGUCCUCUGUCUUCUACAACCGGAAUCACUCAAUUCCGACAAGUUUCGUGGAAGUUACACUCUCCGGAAUGAGAAGUGGUCCAAGCUGCUCUGAAUGCUGCGAGAUGGUCUUGCGACUUGGUUAACCCGCAGGCCUGAAGAUGAAUGCCUGAAAGCUGAUGCUGCGAGUUGAGAAUUGCGGGUAAGCUAUCACUGGAUGAGGUCUGAGGCUCCCGAGCAAGAAAAUUGCUAAGUCCACAAUCGUGCGACUUAGGCAUGCGAGUUGGCCGCGCCUGAAACCAAGCCGCACGAUCACUCGCAAUUUACUCCGACUUGAGCCUGCGACCUGAGUACAAUGGAAACCAAACCGCAGAGUUUGUACACUCCCCAGAAACCGCCUUGAUCCUGCGAGUUGAAGAAGAAGAAGAUUAAGCCGCAGCAAAACUCGCAAAUCACUCCUACUUGGGCAUGCAGCUUAGACAAGACGAUUUAAGCCUCACAAGACAGGUUCUUCAUCUACUGCGACUUGGGCGUGCUACCUGGGACAUACUGGACAUACCCGCAGUAAUUCCCACUUUAUCCAUUAAAGCCGGGUCAGGACCCGGUUUGUUCCGGGCUGACCCGGUUCGUUUUUAGAAAGAUAUAAAUACUUUUUAGGGUUUUUUUGGGAGAGAACUAAGCUUUAUUCCCUUUGUAUCUUGCCUCUUUUGUGAAAAAGACUCCACCAAGAAGAGAAAUAUCGAUUUUUGGCCCUUUAAUCAAGAGAGUUUAAGAGAUUUUUGUGUUUAAAGCUGCUUUCUUCUUAAUCUAUCAUCUCCAUCUCCAUUUCUCAUCAUUAAUCAUGCUAAUCUUCUCAACUUGCAAAGGUUUAAGAGAGAUUAGUAUGAUUAGUGAGUAGUCACCUUAAUGAGGUUCUAGAUGUGUAGGUUAGGGUGCUAAAGUGUUAGAUUAGGAGUGCUUAGGGCUAGAUUCAUUGAUUCAUCUCUCUAAACAGCUGUUCUCUAUGCUAGAUCCUUGCACAUCACUUGAGAUCUAGAUUCUGGGAAUUUCAUGCACCAAAAGUGUUUGAUGAAAUUCCUGAAAGAGCUGUAUUAGAGGUUUAAGCAUUUCCUGCAUGAUGAUGUAUUGUUAAUUGCUUGAAUGAUCAUUAAGAACUGUUUAUUGAUGCAUAUUGAUUCAUAUUUCACAAAUGGGAAUUUGGUUUGAAAAUGGAUUAGUAUAGGGGUUGAUACCUUCAUGAGAGGAUCAACCUAGAUUAGAGUUCUUAAUCAUUUGAAUCAUGUAUCAUCAUUGUCAUUAGCAUUUCUAGUUUAGCACCAAGGCACCCUAACCAACUAUCAUGUCUAGAAACUCAUGCCUCCAUCAUAUCAUAUUCCCAUCAUUUGUCAUUGUUUAGUUCUAGUUUAAUCAUUUCAUUAGUCUUUAAUCCUGUUUAAGUUUGUGGUUGUCUUUAGAUAAUCAAAACCACUCUUGUUUGCUUGAAUUAAGAACUUGAUCACAUAGUUUAGUGUCUAACACCACAUCUGGAUUGAUAAACCUCUUUGUGCUACUUUGACAAGGGGAUUGAUAACCUCUAUAAAGAGCCUUGAAAACUCUUAGUUAUCAAUUGGCGCCGUUGCCAAAUUGUGGUUUGUUUAGCAUUAAGCUCUGAUCUGUUCUUGAGAUCAAGUGCUUAUUACUGAUUACUUUCAAGUUCUGUUUGUGAUUUCAGGUGUAUGAACACCAGGUCUAGAUCAAGAAGCUGUGGUCCACCUUUCCCUCUCAACGACAACAUCAACCUUUUGGUACCAAGGAGGAGAAGGGACAGACGUGGUAGACAGAUUGAUCAGGCUGAGAUGGCAGAACAAGGAGAACACGUGGUAGACAUAGAACAACCAGUUCAUGAGCAACAGGCUCAGGGUAAUGGAGCUGGUAAUGGAGUUGGUCAAGGGCUUCAUCAGGGUAAUGUUCAUCAGGAACAGAUGCACCAUCAACAAGCUUAUGUCCACCAGGGACAAGCUCAAGCUCAUCAACAGAGGCAUCAGGCCAAUGUUCAGCAAAGACAACAAGUGCACCACCAACCCCAGCCCUUCCAACACCAACAAAGAAGAUAUGACCAACCCCAAGUCUAUGUUGGAGAGAAUGACAGGGCAAAUUCUCAUCAGUAUGGAGCUGGUAUUCAGGCACCACCUGUGCAAAACAACAACUUUGAAGUGAAGGCAUCAUUGCUGAAUAUGGUCCAGAACUAAAAGUUCCAUGGGUUAGCAAUGGAAGAUCCCUUGGAACACUUGGACCAGUUUGAUAAGGUGUGUGAUCUGACAAAAAUUAAUGGAGUUUCUGAGGACAGCUUCAAGCUAAGACUAUUCACAUUCAGUCUUGGUGACAAAGCUCAUCAAUGGGAGAAGAAUCUUCCAAGGGGCUCCAUUCAAACCGGGGAGCAAUGCAAGCAUGCUUUUCAAUCUAAGUUCUUCUCCACCUCAAGAACUGCAAAACUGAGGAACCAAAUCUCUAGCUUCACUCAACACAGCAAUGAGAAUUUUGGUGAAGCCUAUGAGAGAUUCAGGAGCUACACAAACCAAUGCCCACACCAUGGGUUUAGUGAGGCUUCUCUUCUCAGCAAACUUUAUAGAGGAGCUCUUCCCAUGAUUAGAAACCAGCUGGAUACUGCUUCCAAUGGGAACUUUCUGGGUAAAGAGAUACAUGCUGCUUUAGAGCUAGUGGAGAACUUAGCAUUGAGCAAUGAUACUUAUGGUGAAGACUAUGACAGAUCAAAUAGGUCUGAAGGUUCAAGCUCAGAACAGAGGCUCACUAGGGAAGUUAAGGAGUUGAGAAAUGAAUUAGACAAGUUGAAGUUGGUAACUCACAAGCCAAUGCAUUUUGUUGGAGAGUAUGAGGAACCAUCUCAAAUCUUUGAGAACAUAAGUGAAGAGGGUCUCACCCAAGAGGAACUUAACUACAUUGGGAAUCAGAGGUUCCAGAGAUAUCCGUAUGGUAAUGCCAAUCCAAACCUUUCUUACAGGAACACCAAUGUAGCUAACCCACAAGACCAGGUGUAUCCCAAUUCUCAAGCUCCACAGAACUUUGUUCCCAAGAACAACUUUCAAGGAUCUUUUCAACCAAAGAAUCAGUUUGCUCAGAAUCAAGGUUUUGGUCAGCAACAGCAACCAUUUCAGGGUCCUAGUUUCAGUUCACAGCAGCAAAAGGCACCACCAGGGUUUGGUCCACCACAGUUCCAACAGCAAGCGCCUGUUCAACAACAAUAACAGCCACCAACGGUUCAACAACAGCCACAGAUGGGUACAGAUAUGGUUGGUAUUCUGCAACAACUACUUCAGGGUCAACAGAUUUUUGCAAGCCAGAACCCAGCUAUGCAGCAGGAAAUCAAGGAACUGAAGCAAAACCAGGCAUCAAGCUCACGGAACCAAGGUCACCUACCUGGAAAACCAGAACCCAACCCCAAGGAAUAUGCCAAGGCAAUUACACUGAGGAAUGGAAAAGAGUUGCCUGGUAUUGAGAACAACAAUGUGAUCAUUGGGGACAAUGAUCAAACUAAGGCGGAGGCAGCCUUAAAAGAGGAUCAAGUUGCUGAGAAACUAAGGACAGAAAAGGGUAAAGAGGUAGCAAAGGAACCAGAACCAGAAAAAGAAUAUGUGCCACCACCUCCAUACCAACCCAAGCUCCCAUUUCCAGGGAGAUUCAAGAAGCAACUAGUGGACAAGGCAAGAGCUGUAUUUGAGAAGGCACUCAAGGAGACACCACUCACAAUGCCUCUCAUUGAUGCAUUCUUAAUGAUGCCAAAGAUGGGGAAGUUCUUGAAGGAUGCCAUUCUGAACAAGACAAAAGAGCUUCAAGGCAUGGUAGUACUAAGUCAUGAAUGCAGUGCUAUCAUUCAGAAGAAGUCCAUUCCAAGGAAGUUAACUGAUCCAGGGAGCUUCACACUCCCUUGUGCCAUUGGACCUCUUCUAUUCUCUGGAUGUCUUUGUGAUCUAGGAGCAUCAGUCAGCUUGAUGCCAUUCUCCAUAGCAAAGAAGCUGGGCUUUAGAGUCUUCAAACCUGCAAGGAUUUCUCUUAUCCUUGCAGAUAGAUCAGUUAGAUUGCCUGUUGGUAUGUUGGAAGAUCUACCUGUUAAGAUUGGUGGUUUUGAGGUUCCAACAGAUUUUGUUGUUCUGGAAAUGGAUGAGGAACCAGUAGAUCCUCUUAUCUUGGGCAGGCCAUUCUUAGCAACUGCAGGAGCUAUUAUUGAUGUGAGAGGUGGGAUAAUAGAGCUUCAACUUGGGUCUGAAAAGCUCAAGUUUGAUGUGAAUGAGAUGAUGAAGAAACCCACCAUUGAAGGUCAAUGUUUCUAUGUGGAGACAAUGGAUCAGUUGGCUGAUGAGUUGCUUGAGGAGCUGAACACUGAGGAUCCUCUUCAAACUGCUCUAACUCAAGAACAAGGAGACAAUGGGCUCUUAGCUGAAGCAAGUGAAGGGUAUAAGCUGUAUCUGGACAAUGCAAGAGAACUGGGUCCUGAGACAAGGUUUUUGGAGCUGGAACAAAGUGGUUCUGAGGUCUUUGCAAUCAAAGGAUCAGACACCAGCCAAAGCAGCUUGGACCAGGAUUGGAAUGAGGCUGAUGCACCCCCUGUUGAGCUCAAGCCUCUACCAACAGGGCUCAGGUAUGCUUUCUUGGGCUUAAACUCCACAUAUCCUGUCAUCAUCAAUGAUAGCCUAUUAGAGGAUCAAGAGAGUGCAUUGCUUAAUGAAAUAAGAAAGUUCAGGAGAGCCAUAGGAUAUUCUUUGGCUGAUAUUAGAGGGAUCUCUCCUGACAUUUGCACCCACAGGAUCCACCUAGAGGACCAAUCUAUGUCCUCUAUUGAGCAUCAACGAAGACUUAACCCCAACCUUAGGGAAGUGGUUAAGAAGGAGAUACUAAAAAUUUUUGAGGCAGGGAUAAUUUACCCAAUCUCUGACUCAAGAUGGGUGUCUCCUGUUCAUGUUGUGCCCAAGAAAGGUGGGAUCACGGUGGUUAAAAACGAUAAGGAUGAACUCAUAGCUCAAAGAACCAUAACUGGCCAUCGCAUGUGCAUUGACUAUAGGAAAUUGAAUUCUGCUUCUAGAAAAGACCAUUUCCCUUUACCAUUCAUUGAUCAAAUGCUUGAAAGGCGAGCUAAUCAUCCUUAUUAUUGUUUUCUCGAUGGGUACUCUGGAUUUUUUCAAAUUCCCAUAGAUCCAAGAGACCAAGAGAAAACCACAUUCACUUGCCCUUAUGGCACUUAUGCUUAUAGGAGAAUGCCUUUCGGUUUAUGUAAUGCACUGGCCACUUUUCAAAGAUGUAUGAUGCACAUUUUCUCUCACAUUAUUGAAGAGAAAGUUGAGGUGUUCAUGGAUGACUUUAGUGUCUAUGGCUCCUCCUUCUCGGAUUGUCUCUCAAAUUUGUCACAGGUUUUGGAGAGAUGUGAGCAGCAUAACUUGGUGUUAAACUGGGAGAAAUGCCACUUCAUGGUGCAGGAAGGAAUAGUUCUUGGACACUAGAUAUCUGAGAAGGGCAUAGAGGUUGAUAGGGCAAAUGUGGAAGUGAUGGUGAAUCUGCAACUCCCACUUCAGUUAAAGGGAUAAGGAGUUUCCUUGGGCAUGCAGGGUUUUAUAGAAGAUUCAUAAAGGACUUCUCAAGAAUUGCCAGGCCCUUGACAAGACUGUUGUGUAAAGAAGUGGAUUUCAUCUUUGAUGCUGAAUGUGAGGAGGCCUUCAAGUUGAUCAAGGAGGCAUUGGUUAGUGCACCAAUAGUUCAGGCACCAGACUGGUCCCUUCCUUUUGAGGUCAUGACAGAUGCAUCUGAUUUUCUGUUGGAGCAGUGCUUGGGCAAAAGAAAGACAAGAAGCUGCAUGUGAUCUACUAUGCCAGUAGAACACUUGACUCUGCACAAGAGAAGUAUGCUACAACUGAAAAGGAAAUGCUGGCAAUAGUUUUUGCCUUUGAUAAGUUCAGAAGCUACCUGGUGGGAUCAAAAGUCAUAGUAUAUACUGAUCAUGCAGCCCUCAGGUAUUUGAUGACCAAGAAAGAUGCCAAGCCAAGGCUGUUAAGAUGGGUUUUAUUGCUCCAAGAGUUUGAUAUGGAAGUGCUUGAUAAAAAGGGCAUUGAGAAUGGGGCUGCAGACCAUCUCUCAAGGCUGAGGAUUGAAGAAAAGGUCCCCAUAGAUGAUGCUUUGCCUGAAGAGUCUCUGAUGGUGCUCCAUUCCUACUUGGAGUUUGAGGAAGUAGAGAGCAUUCAAGAAAGGAGGAUGCCUUGGUUUGCAGACAUAGUGAAUUAUCUUGCAUGUGGGGUGGAGCCUCCUGAAUUAGAUGCUUACAAGAGGAAGAAGUUCUUCAGAGAUGUCCAGAGAUACCAUUGGGAUGAGCCCUACCUCUAUGUUCUGAACAAGGAUCAGCUGUAUAGAAGGUGUCUUGCUGAAGAGGAGAUGCAACCUGUGUUGCAAGAAUGUCAUGGUUCUGCUUUUGGAGGUCACAUGGGUCAAGACUGUGGAAAAGGUUCUUCAGAGUGGGUUUUGGUGGCCUACAAUGUUCAAAGAUGCUCAGUUGGUGGUUUCAGCAUGUGAUGUCUGUCAGAGGCAUGGGAACAUAUCAAAGAGGAGUGAGAUGCCUCAAAACCCCAUUCUAGAAGUUGAGAUCUUUGAUUGUUGGGGGAUUGACUUCAUGGGACCCUUCAUUUCAUCCUAUGGGAAUCAGUAUAUACUUGUUGCUGUGGCCUAUGUGUCCAAAUGGGUUGAGGCCAUUGCUUCCCCUACCAAUGAUUCCAAGGUUGUAGUGAAGCUGUUCAAGAGCACUAUCUUUCCAAGGUUUGGAGUUCCAAGGGUUGUCAUCUCUGAUGGAGGAUCUCAUUUUGUGAACAAGACUUUGGAGGGUUUGCUGAGAAAGCAUGGAGUGAAACACAAGAUAGCUACUCCAUAUCAUCCUCAAACUAGUGGCCAGGUGGAGGUAUCUAAUAGACAGAUCAAAGCCAUUCUUGAGAGAACUGUUAGCUCAAGCAGAAAAGAUUGGAGCGAAAGGCUAGAUGAUGCAUUGUGGGCUUAUGGGACUGCCUUUAAAACUCCAAUUGGGACAUCACCUUUCAGUCUGCUAUAUGGGAAGAGCUGCCACCUUCCUGUUGAGUUGGAAUACAAGGCUAUGUGGGCUGUGAAGUUGCUGAACUUUGAUAUCAAGACAGCUCAAGAGAAAAGAGUCAUGCAACUCCAUGAGCUUGAGGAGAUUAGGCUUGAGGCUUUUGAGAGCUCUAAGAUCUAUAAGGAGAAGACCAAAGCUUUGCAUGAUCAAAAGAUUCUGAAAAGGGAGUUCAAGGAUGGUGAUUUGGUGUUGCUGUUCAACUCUAGACUUAAGUUGUUUCCAGGAAAACUUAAGUCUAGAUUGUCUGGACCCUUUAAGGUUCUUGAAGUCAGGCCAUAUGGAGCUGUUGUCUUGGAAGGAAAGAAUGGUCAAGAGUUUGUGGUGAAUGGACAACGGAUUAAGCAUUAUCUGGUUUCACAAAAGAAGGAGGAAGCUACAUCAGUUCCCCUUCUUGAUCCACCACCAGCCUGUUAAACAGGUUUCCAAAGUCAAACUUAGAGACUUUAAACAAAGUGCUCUUGGGAGACACCCCAAGCUUAUCUUUGUACAUAGUCCUUUUGAUUUCUUCUCUUUUCUUUUAUGUUUUAGAACUUUUUGAUGGGUUUUGUGAGUUGGUCUCAGGUUCUAGGUGAUUUUUGGAGACAUAGCUCAUUGAUGAAUGGAAUGGAGCAUGUGAGAGGGCUGGGGGAAGUGUUUAAGGACUGAAAAACUUGGAGAACGCCUCAGUGCUACCUAGGUGUGCGGUCUGGAUCAGGAAGAGCCCAGGCCGCAGCAGGACUCGCAAUUUACUCCGGCUGGGCGUGCUACCUAGUAAAAGGAGUCCAAGCCGCAUAAAGAAGAAGAACAGGCCAAGAGUUCUAAGUCCCAAACUCUGCUACCUGGUGCUGCGGCCUAGAAACAAUAGAAGCCAACCCACACACCCAUCCGCAAAACACUCCGGCUUAGGCGUGCUACCUGGAAGCACGAAGACUAGGCCGCACCAAACAGAAGGAGUCCAAAACGUCUAAGUCCUAAACUGUGCUAGCUGGUGCUGCGGGUAAGAAGAGAGGAGUCCAGGCCGCAUGAAGACUCUCAAAUUACUCCGAGAUGGUCGUGCUACCUGGGAAACAUGAAGACUAGUUCGCAGCAAUGGAAAAGUGGCCAAGGAGUUUAAGUGACAAAAGCUGCGGCUUAGGUGUGCUAGCUAGGAAAAAGGAGCCCAGGUCGCAGCACAAGAGGGAUGGCUGAGUUGUCUAAGUCCAGAAACCUGCGGGCUGGUCGUGCUACCUGGAAACAAAGGAACCUAACUCGCAGCCCAACUCUCAAUUUACUCCAAGUUGGUCGUGCUACCUGGUGAAAGAGGUCCAAGCCGCAGCAAAAGAGGAACGGCCAGAAUGUCUAAGUAACAAACCCUGCGGCUUAAGUGUGCUACCUGGAAACAAAGGAACCUAACUCGCAGCCCAACUCUCAAUUUACUCCAAGUUGGUCGUGCUACCUGGGAAAAUUAGUCCAAACCGCAGCAAAAGAAGAGUGCCCAAGCUGCCUAAGUCACAAAACCUGCGGGAUGGUUGUGCUACCUGGGAACAAAGAAGACCAACCCGCACAUCCAUUCGGAAUUUACUUCGAGUUGGUCGUGCUAGCUGGAAAACAUGAAGAAAAGGUCGCAGCAGGAAAAGAAAGGCCUGAGUUGUCUAAGUCAUAAAAGCUACGGGAUGGUUGUGCUACCUAGAAACAAGAGGAACCAAACCGCACAUCCAUUCGCAAAUUACUCCGACUUGGUCGUGCUAGCUGGUUGCAAUGGGUUCCAGGUAGCAGCAAUGAGAAAAAAUAAAACCAGGCUGAAGGAUCUUUACUGCGGGUUGGUCAGGGUUAGAAAGAGAAUGACCAGGUAGCACAAAAAUAUUUCCGGUUCUGCACCAAGACGGUCAUACGGCUCGAUCCCGACGGUUCCCGGACGCACAAAAGAGAGAAAGGAGGCCAGUCAAUGAGAAAAGGACGGGUCAAAGCCUUGACUGGUCAAAACAGAUCUAUUGACCACCAGUCCAAAGGCUUGACCCUGUCCCACACUCCCUCUUCCCCACAACAAACCCGAGUUUGCAACUAUUUCUCUCAUUUCUCUCCAUUGUUUUCACCAUAUCUCUCUCAUUUCUCCAACAAAUUUGUUGAUUCAAAGUGCUCUGAGCUCGUUUUUGAGUUGUUAACAUCAUCCUGAUUGCAUUUCGAACUCGUUUCAUCUUAAUCCCAAGGUAUUUCAUCCUGUUAAAAUUCACCUUUUUUCCAUGUUCUUCAAUGGUGAUUUCUGAGCAUUCAAAGUGUGGAAUCGAUUUUGAUAGGUUGUUUUAGACCUUGGGAUUAUUUUUAUAAAUUCUAGGGUGCUAGAUAGUCUUGGAAAACAGAGCACUUUGUUGGUAAUUCCUUGUUCUUGAGUUUUGAAAAUUGUUGCAAGUAAUUCAUGAAAAAAAAAAUCGAAUUUUUUUAAAAAAAAGGAGAUGAAUUGGUUUCUUGCUGAGUCUUUGCUUUGCACUCUUGUUUUUGCAUUGCUAUGAACUUAUUGGAUUGAUACUUGGCUUGAGAAACCUGUUCAUGUGGUUUUAAAAUCGAUUCUUGCAACAAAUGUUUUUCAAAAUUUUGAAGAAUUUUGUGAAGCUUGUUCUUGUACUAACAUUGUUUUUGAGAAUCUCUUGGCAGAUGACUGAAAGAACCAACUCUCUGGCCAAGAAGAAGGGCAAUGCAUCAAAGGGCAAAGGUUUGGUCUCAGGGUCUUCAAAUCCAAGAGAAAAAAGUCAAGGUGCAAAGAAUACCACAAAGCAAGGGAAGUGUGAUCCAGCGCCAAAAAGGACAAGGCCUGAAGGAAAAGCUUUGGUGGUUGCUUCUGGUUCCAAGAAGAAGGGGAAACAGUUGGCUGUGGUAUCUGAGACUGAACAGACUGAAAGUGACUCAAGCAGCUCAGCUGGUGGUUCCCAAGGCACCAUUGAAGAGGGAUCAAAGAAGUUCAAGACAACUGAACCAGAAACACUUGAUUAUCUGGCUAAGUUUCAACAGAUAGAGAUCCAGAAAGGGAGAUUCCCUGAUUUGGACUUUCUGAAGAAGAUUGGCAUCUAUGAAGAUGUCAAGACUUUGCUUGGGAACAUGGGUGUUGAGUCACUUUUGGAGAUGAGAGAGAUCGCUUAUGAACAAGAGUCACAAGAAUUCUUGGCGUCCUUUGAAGCUUUCAUUUACUACCCAAGGGAUUCAAGAAUUAUUCAAGGAGAUGGGCUUGGACAUGUGGAGUUUACUGUGAAAGGGAAGGAGUAUUCAGUGUCAUUCAGAGAAUUGAAUGAGAUUUUUGGGUUUUCAUCACCUAGAAAUGAACUUCUCUCAAAGCAGGUCAAUCUCAGAAAAGAUGAGAUCCAACUUCUAUGGAGAUCAAUUGCUUCUGGGAAGUACACAGCUGGAACAGCUAAGUCCUCUUGGAUAAGGAAUUCAGUCCUGAGAUAUGUACACAAGAUUCUCUCUCACAGCUUCUACUUCAAGAUUGAUGUUGGAAGAGUUCACAAAGGAGAUCUUAUGCUUCUUGGUGUAGGGCUGAGACCGCUGAUGCCAACACAUGAAGAUGGGGAACCCUAUGAAGGGUAUGAAUACCCACUUUGCCUUGCAUCUCAAUUAGCAAGGUCUUUGAUGUUCUACAAAAAGUGCAUGUGGGGUUCUACAAAGCAAGAUGCAAAGCUGGCCCAUGGAUGGGUGGUAACAAAGAUCUUGAAAGCCAUGGGGUACAGAUUCAAGGAGAACAAGGAAAAGUUUGAUCUGAUUAAUGAAGCACAUUUGUGUAAGAUUGGCUUCCUCCAGGGAAGAGUGGGUACCAAGGUAGUAUACAACUUCAAGACACUCAUCAGUGAGCCAGCCCAAGUUCUCCUGCCCAAUCCCUCCAUAACCACAGUCCAAGUUAAGAGGAACAUUCACUUCUUCUUGCUGAAGGAAGAGCUGUACAAUGUCCAAACUGAUCUACCAAUCCUCAUAUACAAGCAAGCUUGCAGAGAAGAAGCCUCCAGGGGAAAGAAAGCAACCGCUGAAGAUGCUACCACAAGUGCAGCUGGUGCUCAAGAUGCUGAUCUGCCUCCACCUCAAAAACGUUUUGGUGGCAACAGAUACCACUUUGAUGAUUACAACUGGGAGGAACCAGGCACUUCAGGGUUCAGAGCUCAACAGAAGAUUGGUAUUCUCCAACAAUGGUGCAAGUACCAAGACAAAACCAUCCACAAGAUGGCCAAAUGCAUCAAGGAGAUGAAGAAGAGGAUCAAGAAGCUUGAAAACCCUUGCAAAGGUGGGGCUCCAGCACCGGUUUCACCAAGGAACAGAGAGGAAGUUGGAGAGAGUUCCAUGAACUGCACAGCCCUGGUCACAUAUGGAACCACUAGGGUAGAUCUUGACGACGGGUCUGAUGAAGCCAGCCAUCAUUCUUGGGAGACACCAUCCGGCAACACUUCAAACCCCUCCUACUCAUUGGGGUCUGACUUCAACAGCCACUAGGUAACACUCAAAACCAUGUAAAUAGCAUGUAGUUUUCUUUUUUUUCUUUUGCAUUUCACUUGUUUACUUUGUUUUCACUUGUUUACUUUGUUUUCACUCCUUUCUCAUACUUUUAUAACACAAGGGAAUGUGUUAUUUAAGUGUGGGGGAGGAGUUUCAUCCUUCACUGAUCAUGUUUUCUCUUUUCUUAUUUUACACUUUGAGUCUUGAGUCACAUUUUAGUUGCAUAUUCAUGUAGUCUCAUCUAAGUGCAUAUAAAAAUCAAAAAAAUGGAAAAAUCUGAAAAAGUUUCACAAAAAAAAAUUGAUCAUGUAGCUGCAUUCUCAUUUUUAGGAUUGAGUCUAGAUUGCAUAUGCAUGUAGGUUGCAUCUUGCAGGGAGUAAUGAUAGGUUUUCUAGAGAGUACAUCACUUUGAGAACUUGAACUGAAUAUGCUUGUGAAUCUUUUUCUGUGCUUGCAAAGUCUGAAAUGAUCUGAAUCUGAGAAGCAAGUUUGAAUUGAACUCAACUCUAAUUAAGUGAAAACCCUGAACUUGACUUGAAAUUAUCAUUUGGUGCAUUGUUUGAAUAAGCUUGUGGAUACCAAUAUACAUAUUUGAGCUAGAACCCUGUUUUUACCAUCCUCUUCCUUAGCUCAAAUAGCUGAAUCUGCAUAAUAGAUCAGUUUUCCUCACCCUGAACCCAUCCUUCUUUCAAGCCAAUUGUUUGUGUGUGAUUGAGAGGCCACCUUGGACCAGACUUAGCAGAAAGUGUUAGGUUUAGGGCGACAAGGGCAAGUCUCAUUGAGUGCUAAGUUCCAUAAUCAAGGAGCUGAGAGAUUUGGCAAGAACUAAGUGUGGGGGAAUACAUGUUGGUGAGUGGAAAAAGGAGAGAUGAGUGGAAAUAAAAGAAGAAUGGUGAGAACUAGGGGAUAGAAAAAGAAUUCAGUCUUGGAAUUUUGAGUCAAAAGAAGUGAGCUCUAGUGUUUUGAAAAGAAAGAGUCUAGCCUCUAAGAGAAAAGAAAAGAAGCCAAGGAGCUCAAAUGUUUUAAAAAGAAAGAAAAAAAGAGGUUAGAGGUUACAAAAGAAAGUGAUGAAGAGCUAUGGAAAGUUUGAACUCCAAGACUUGUGUAUGAAAAAGAAAAGAGAGUCCCCUAGUGAGAGAAGAAUGAGUGUGAAAAGUAAGCAAGUGAGAAAACUUUGAGUAGAGUGUGGGGUGGAAUGAGUCUUUGCCCUUGUAUGCAUAGGUUGCCUUUUACCUUUAGCAUUCUGCCAAAGUUUGGUCAUUCAUAGAGAGAUCCUUUUGCUGCAUUGAACCCACUCAGGCAUUGAUGAGAUCAUCUUAAUCUCAUAACCUCACCCUAGCCAAACUAUGUUUUUUUAAACAAUGCAUCAUUUGAUCCACUUGGUAAAAAGCUUAAUGAAUGUGAAAGAGUUGAGAGAGAGAAGAACUUGUGGAGAUUCCUUGUUGAGUUGAUAUAUAUCUGAGUAUGGCUUUGCAUUGCAUAAUUGAGCAUGAACUUGAAUUCUCAUUGUGAUCACUUCUCUCAAAAAGGAAAUGUGAACUCCCAUGCAUUCAACCUCUUUCUCUCAUUUGUUCUUGUUUGCUUGAGGACAAGCAAACGACAAGUGUGGGGGAGUUGAUAUGUUCAUAAUUUGCAUCAUUUAGGUUGCAUAAUUCAUUCUAAAUCAUGUUUUAUUCCAUGCAUUUUAGGUCCUUAGGGUUUGUUUUAGAACUUAGGAGAUGCAGUAGGUCCCAACAAGUCUUUGCAUGUUUUGAGUGUUUAUCAGGUGCAUUUGGAGCUGAAAAGAUGAAUCCAGGAGGUGGAAUGGUGAUCAAAGCUUGAAAAGUGGCAAAAUGGAGUCUUUGGAGGUUAUCGGCCAUUCUCGCUGACCAGGAGGGUUUUUCACGACCAUUCUCGCGUACCAGGAAAGAUUUUACCGGCCAAAACACGUACCACGGGUAGAUUUCAUCGGCCAAAACGCGUACCGGUUAAAGCAUCUCUCGGCCAAAAUCUCCAGGUGCAGACACGUUUCCGAAAUCGCCUGUCCGGGGAGCUUUUCGGUCCGAUUCAGAUGGCGGGUGCUUCAUAGAAGUUGGAGAGGAUUGGAGCACGGUUUCCUAGCAAGUGGAAUCACGGAAUUCGGACGCGUGAGCAGAGAGUUAAGCUCGUCGGAAGAAACCCUUGUCUCGCUGCUGUUUUGGACCAAGCCGAUGAGCUCUGAAGAAUGCGAAGGACGGUGUACUUCCAGGCCGAUUCAGUUUCCGGGGCCUUCAUGCGAAUCCGAGACGAUUGAGUCUUCUUUCCAGAACGUCCGAGAUCAUUCAAUUCGGAGCAACGAGCAGGAAGAUACGGUCUCCGGAAUGGACACAUGUCUAGACGCCUCUCUCUGUUCGUGUAAAUGCACUGCAAAGAUGUGCCCUCCAGGAAGCCUUCCACUUCCCAAGCACCGAAUCUUUCUUCACACAAGUUGGAGAUAAAUGAGUCCUCUGUCUUCUUCAACCGGAAUCACUCAAUUCGGACAAGUUUCGUGGAAGUUACACUCUCCGGAAUGCGAAGUGGUCCAAACUGCUCUGAAUGCUGCGAGAUGGUCUUGCGACUUGGUUAACCCGCAGGCCUGAAGAUGAAUGCCUGAAAGCUGAUGCUGCGAGUUGAGAAGGGCGGGUAAGCUAUCACUGGAUGAGGUCUGAGGCUCCCGAGCAAGAAAAUUGCUAAGUCCACAAUCGUGCGACUUAGGCAUGCGAGCUGGCCGCGCCUGGAACCAAGCCGCACGAUCACUCGCAAUUUACUCCGAGUUGAGCCUGCGACCUGAGUACAAUGGAAACCAACCCGCAGAGUUUGUACACUCCCCAGAAACCGCCUUGGUCCUGCGAGUUGAAGAAGAAGAAGAUUAAGCCGCAGCAAAACUCGCAAAUCACUCCUACUUGGGCAUGCGGCUUGGGACAGACGAUUUAAGGCCACACAGACAGGGUCUUCAUCUACUGCGACUUGGGNNNNNNNNNNNNNNNNNNNNNNNNNNNNNNNNNNNNNNNNNNNNNNNNNNNNNNNNNNNNNNNNNNNNNNNNNNNNNNNNNNNNNNNNNNNNNNNNNNNNCCCUUUAAUCAAGAGAGUUUAAGAGAUUUUUGUGUUUAAAGCUGCUUUCUUCUUAAUCUAUCAUCUCCAUCUCCAUUUCUCAUCAUUAAUCAUGCUAAUCUUCUCAACUUGCAAAGGUUUAAGAGAGAUUAGUAUGAUUAGUGAGUAGUCACCUUAAUGAGGUUCUAGAUGUGUAGGUUAGGGUGCUAAAGUGUUAGAUUAGGAGUGCUUAGGGCUAGAUUCAUUAAUUCAUCUCUCUAAACAGCUGUUCUCUAUGCUAGAUCCUUGCACAUCACUUGAGAUCUAGAUUCUGGGAAUUUCAUGCACCAAAAGUGUUUGAUGAAAUUCCUGAAAGAGCUGUAUUAGAGGUUUAAGCAUUUCCUGCAUGAUGAUGUAUUGUUAAUUGCUUGAAUGAUCAUUAAGAACUGUUUAUUAAUGCAUAUUGAUUCAUAUUUCACAAAUGGGAAUUUGGUUUGAAAAUGGAUUAGUAUAAGGGUUGAUACCUUCAUGAGAGGAUUAACCUAGAUUAUAGUUCUUAAUCAUUUGAAUCAUGUCUCAUCAUUGUCAUUAGCAUUUCUAAUUUAGCACCAAGGCACCCUAACCAACUAUCAUGUCUAGAAUCUCAUGCCUCCAUCAUAUCAUAUUCCCAUCAUUUGUCAUUGUUUAGUUCUUGUUUAAUCAUUUCAUUAGUCUUUAAUCCUGUUUAGGUUUGUAGUUGUCUUUAGAAAAUCAAAACCACUCUUGUUUGCUUGAAUUAAGAACUUGAUCACAUAGUUUAGUGUCUAACACCACAUCUGGAUUGAUAAACCUCUUUGUGCUACUUUGACAAGGGGAUUGAUAACCUCUAUAAAGAGCCUUGAAAACUCUUAGUUAUCAGUUCUGCAACAGAAGAGUUUGAAGAAGAACUUUGGAGUGACGAAGAACCUGCUAGGCAAAGCAAGGAGAUGUCGAAAAAGACUUCUCUCAGGACAAGAUCUUCUUCAUUGGACUAAGCCACAUCCUACACCAAAUUCGAGCUAAACGACUUAAAACAGAAGCGCUUAAUGGGACGCAACGCAUUUAGGUAUUGUUUUCUUUGGGAUAUUUUUUCUUUUUCUAUUGAUCUUUUUCUUUUUCUUAGUUUCAGGUGUUUCUUAUAAAAUAAAAUAAAAAAACCAAAAAAAUAAAAAAACCAAAAAACCCAAAAAGAAGGAUGGUCCCUGACUGCUCGGCCCAGCAUGAACUAAGGAGAAUCAGGAACAGGCCGUAUUUAAGCCCUCGCGGUCGCAGGCGUUCUGACCGUGGGAGACACCACUUCGACCGCAGCCGCAUUUUUCUUACCGCGGCCGAGCACCAGUUUGCCGCGGUCGCGUGACCCCUGACCGCAGCAGAUGGUCGUUGAGAUGAUAUCCGGCCCCAAACCACCCACUUCACCUCAUUCCACCUCAUCAAGCCCCACUUCACCUCAUUCAUCACUUCCCACCACCUUCCAUCACCACCUAUCACCUUCCCAAACCUCUUCGAAUGAAUCCGGUCCAUCUCCACCAGCAUCCCGGAUCCAGGUAAGUUCUCUUUGGCCUUACCAAAUUCGAUUAUCUUUGCAUUUUUCUCAUCCAAUCUCGACUUGUUUCACACUGAGGACAGUGUGAUUUAAGUCUGGGGGAGGAUUUCAUCCCUUUCUAACCACUUUUCUUUCAUGAGUCUUGCAUUAUCUACACUUUCUGCAUUUUCCUUAAAGUUUUUCAAAAUUGAUUUUUAAAACAAAAUACAUUUUAAAGGGAAUGGUGAACAUGAAUCAAUGAUAGUUGAUUGUGUGCUUUUAGAAUGUUCCUCGUGACAUGCUCAUUCAUGAUUUAAGACUAGACUAGGCGGUAGCUAAGCACAUUUGAAACAAAGUACCCCAGAGGAAUUUGAAUGAUUUCGAUUUAGAUGAAGGAAUACACUAGCUCUGUUUUAUUUGGACUUAAUUCUCUCAUUGAAGCAUUAGACCAGGGAAACGAAUCAUACAUUCAGGACUCCUUUACCCUUUUUACCACUCUCUGCUGAUCUUGAAUGGCUAGUUCAUCUUUAGCUAGUUCCCCACCUUAACCAAUCCUCUUUCAAACCACAUGCACUCUUGUUUUCUAUUGUCUUAUAUGCAGAUAUGUGUAAAAACGUUAGAGAGAAAGAGGAACGAUGCAGUUUUCAGUCACCAAAGACAGAGACCUGCGAUUAGCCGGAAAACUUCCCGGAAGGAUUCAACACAUGAGGAAGCUUAGUUUUGCCUUUGAAAAUCUCAAAUUUUGGUACAAUCUCUUUCUCUAGUCUCUCUCUCUUUAAAAGGCAUCCCCUUUCCUAAAUAAAAGAAAUAAAAAAUCCAAAAAUAGGAAAAGAAAGGAGAUAAAAGCCUUAGCGAGUCUAGAGAGAUCAAAUUUUAAGUCCCAAGGCAACUGGAGUUCGAUUUUACGGAGUUUUGGAGAUCAUUUUCUGAUUCCCAGAAAGAAUCUAAGUCUGAGGGAAUAGUUGUUCACAACAAAGGAGAAAGGAUUAUGCAACAACAUUUGGCAAGAAGAAGUGACUGAAAAUUGCGGUCAUCAACAAGUCCUUAUCUCUCUUGCGGUUUUGCAUAUUAUCUUGCAUCCUCCAGAUUCAUCAGGUAACCCGAAACACUUUAACUCCACCACUUAAACAGCCCUUUAAUACCAAACGCCGUCUACCCUAGAUGAUGUCUUUAAUGAGAAUUACCUAUUGCACUUAAUGAAUGUAGAGAGCUAUUUGACUGGAAUCAAGAUUUAGAUUAUUUAAGUUUUGCAUGACGGAAAAAGUGGGCUAGUAUCUUUUGUGUCUUGGUGAGAAUUUUCUAGACUAAGUUGUGGAUUGAUGCACGAUCUUUGGUCCUAGUUUAGGAAUCCAUGUCUCUGAGAUUUGUGCAUUCCCUAUUCUUGUUUUCACUUAACCAGUUUAGACUUUUGCUUUGUUUGAGGACAAACAAAGAUUUAAGUCUGGGAGAGUUGAUAACACCGUAUUUUGACCACUUUUAUGGAUCGUUUUGAAAUACUUUUUCUAUGUUUUUUACUGCUUUCAAGUACUUUUAUUACGUUUUUCUAGUAUUUGUAGUUCCAAGACUCUUUUCAGGAAACUUAGGGUCAGAUUUUCAGCUCAGAGUCAAACCGUCAGAAGCUCACCCCCGAUUGAAGGCCUUCUCACCGUCUGAUCCAGCUCAAAUUUUGAGAUCUCAAAGAUGAAAGUAUCAUCUUUCCAGCACAGUUUACAUCUUGGCAAUCCAACGGUUCAAUCAAAAGAUACGCGAAGACCAACAUGUCCCGUAAACCAGCCAGCAAGCAUUUCCACCCGCAGCCAACAGCCAUUUCACCACGGUCAGAAGCUUCUCGUCCGCGGCCAGCCAACUCCAAACUCGAAGGCCCAUUUCUGAAGCCCAAAAUGAUUCCCUCAUUUGGAGAAACCCUAAGUGACGCCCAGAGAUAUUUUGAGCACUAUAAAUACAUGUUUUAGGAACCCUAAUUCGUAUCACCUCAUAUGCUCUCAUUGUUUUAGAAUACUUUUUAAGUUUUAGCUUUUAGGGAGUGAGAGAUUUGUCUCUUGAACCCUUGUUCUUUCUUUUUCAAUUUCGAUUAUUACUCUAAUUUUUAAUACUAUUUUUUUAAUUUCGUUCAUCAUGUCUGAGUAGUUUUAUUGUUGGGUCUAAGGGAUUUUCGAUGGGGAUACAUAUGUUCGAUGAGGAUUCCAUGAGCUAUUGAAGCCAAAUCUUAGAAAUUUUUCUUCUGAAUUUACUUUUACUGCAUGAGAGUAGCGUCAUGAACUACAAUCUGAUCCAGAUGCUUGGUGACACGAAAGUGUUCAUCCGGUGUCAGAUCUAGUUUGGGAGAGCAAAACAAACAUAGAGUGGAACCCUACCUAUGGGCGAUUUGUGAAUGUUGAUGAGUCUUGAACAUAAUGCAUUUCUUCUCUUCCAGGGCCAGAGUGGAAACCUACUGGUCAGGGUUGAGAGAGAUAAUUGUCUAUGAUCACGACAGUGGCGUAUUCAUACGUCCGUGACUCUAGUUCGAAAAUUUUAAGCUAAGAUCUUAUCAAAUUUACUCUCUAUCAAUGUUUUGAAUCGUUCAUACCCCAGAGAAAACUUCCCUGAAACCCAGUGCCCUCUUUUCUAUAGAUUUACACCGAUUUUAUUUCAAGCUUUAGUUCAUCAUUUUCAUUCUCUUAAUCGAUUUUCACUUAAGCAAUUAGGUUUAGGCGUUUUUUCUCGUUUUUAGUUGAUUUCAUUAAGUUUAGUUAUCAGGUCAUUUUAAUUCUCGUAUUUUCUCGUUAAGAUUAGUUUUUACGUUUUAAAGACACCACCAAAACCCAAUUAAAAUCGCUUGGUUCUAGACUUCCUUACUUUAUAUUCCUUUUGAAGGCUUUUGCAGGAAAGAUCCUCCUUCCUUGUGGAUUCGAUCCCUAAGUACUACAAUUGAUCAGCUGUGCACUUGUGGCUAUUGAUUUCAUUUAGGGUAAAACUUGACACCCUCACGACAGCAGACACAUCAAUUAUCCUCUAGAUAAAUCUUGUGCAUAUAAAGAGUGAAUAUCCUAAAGCUUUUGUAUGCUUUCUCAGUUCAGACAACAGCAGUGUGGUUUCUUCUUCUGUCAAACCAGAAUUUAUAAUGACAGGAUAAGUUGAAUUUGGUCCAAGGAAAGCGUACUUAAGUCCGACGGGAAGAGGCUUUAAGCUCGCUCCAAGGAUCAUUAAUUGCUGCGGCAGUGUCUUUAGGAGGUGUAGGAAUGUUUGUUUGGUCCUUAAGAUCUAGAUAGUUUAGAGGUUUCCUAUAAGUUUCGGAUUUAUCAAUCAUACGUGCACAUUCACUUGAAAUUUCUUCAAGGAAAUUGCGUUCGUCUUUUGUGGGUGAAAGCGUGACACUUAAAGGGUCGUCGGGAAGCAGAUCUUCAUAGACUUCCUCAAUAAUUCUGUCUAGCUCAUCAAUCCAACAAAUUUUGCCAUCCAAAGUCGGUUUAUCGAAACUUUUGUUCAUGUCAAUUACAUAACUAGACCGGCUAGAUGAAGGUCAACUUUUCCUUCAGGAACAUUGAUUAUGGCUCCAGUGUAGAUAGGAAUGGUUGUCCAAGAAUAAGAGGAUCCUUAGGUUCACUUUCUAGUUCUAGAACUACGAAAUCGGUUGGUAUGGAACAUCUAUUAAGAUACCUACGAGUUGUCUAACAGAACGAUCAGCUAAUACUAAAGAAAUUUUAGUAGGCUGGAAAGUGUGAUGUCCUAAACGUUUUGCUACUGAAAGAGGCAUCAUGUUUAUGCUCGAUCCUAAAUCACAGAGAGCACACUCAAAAGCCAUAUUGUUGAUAGUGCAUGAAAGUACGAAGUUUCCAGGAUCGUUUUUCUUUUCAGGGAUUCGGUUGCAGGAUAGAACUACAUUCAUGGGUUAUUAUCAUAAAGCCUUCUUCAAGAGUUAAAGAAUUUGUUAGAAUACCCUUCAUAUAUUUUCUUAAAGCGGGAAUCAUAGCACAAGCUUCUACAAAAGGUAAUCUCACAUUUAAUUGAUCGAUUAACUCCUUCAGCUUAGCUUUUUCUUUUUCUUUCUUAGGGGCUCUAAAGGCUCAAGGAUAUGGAGGUUUAGGUUUAUAGACACGAGUUGGUGGAGGUGGAAUCGGGUUUUCUCCGAGGAUUUCCCGCGAUGUAUUUUCUCUUACUUCUUCUCCAUCCUUCUCUCCUAUCACUUCUUUUUCAACAUCUUCAAUCGUGAUUCUUUCUCUUUCUUUUUCAUUUUCCUUACCCUUUUCCUCACCUUCAUGAUCUUUAGGAAAUCCAGCCUCUUUGUAAGCUAGACCACUCCUAAGUGUGAUGGCUUUCACAUGAUCGGAGGGGUCGGCUUCGCUUGAGCUUUCGAAAGAAUUUUCACUUGGCUCCUCUUCAGAAUUAUCUAUGUUCUUAGACUUAUUUUUGAUCAUUAGACAAUGGAGUUUGGAAAAUUUUUCAUUGAAAUCUUUCUGCAUCUCUUUCAUUUCGGAACUAAGAUCACUAAUUUCCUGACCUAGUUUUUUCAAGCUCUAUAAUUCUUUUGUUUAGGUUUUCAGCUUCAGAAGAGGGAAAACUAGGAUAGGUGAUUGGAUCAGAUUGAACAGCCAUGAUUGGUUCGGAAGACGGUUUACCGCGGUCGUAAAGCUCGUGACUGUGGCAAAAUGGGUCUUGGCCGCGGUCCGGUGAAACACAACCGUGGUGAAACCAUGGUUUCCCGCGAUCCAAAAGGAUGGACCCGCGGUGAUCAGGUACGAAGGGAAAAUCUUGAAUUUGAUAGACUUCUGCAGUGUUCAUCAUCUCUUGAUCAUAAGAAUCCAUUGGGUUGUUCCAAUCAUCAAAAUUACACGUAUUUUUUGUCUUGUUUGGUUGUUGCAAUCCAAGUUGACUCAUUAUGUGAUGGAGACACUUUAUGACUUCCGAAAUCUCUUCUUUCUUCUCAGGAAGUGCAGAAUUUCCAAACGUUGCUUGAUUACGGAUGCUGUUUGCAAGAUUGUUGAUGAAAACACGAGCAUCUUCUACAGAUCUAGUUAAGAAGUCUGCAUUACUUGCUGUGUCGAAAGAGUGUUGUAACUCUAGAUUUAUGUCUCAAUAGAAGAUACCCAUCAGGUAUUCAUCGGUAUAUCCGUGAUGUGGACAAUCUCUUUGGUAUUCCCUAAACCUCUCCCGAGUAUCUAAAAGAUCUUCAUCUUCUUUUUGUUUAAAGUUCGUAUCUUGUUCCUUAAGAGAUUGGAACGAUUUCUAGUGUAAAAACGAUUUAGGAAAGCCUUUCUACACGCUGUCCACGUUUUUAGUGAAGCAGGUUCUAAAGAUUUUAGCCAUUUGCUGGCAUUGUCUCUCAAAGAGAAUGGGAAAAUACUACACUUGUGGUAAUCCCCAUUUGCUGUAAUGGUUGCACAUAAUUCUUCGAACGUCACGAUAUGGUCCAUUGGGUGUUCGGAUGAAUAACCGUAGAAUUGAUUUUGUUGACCGAAGUGGAUAUAGGGUACCUUAAUUUCGGUUUUGUCAUCCUCUGGUAAGGCUGGUUAAAUAGCUCUUUGAUCUCCCAUGAACUUCUCGAGUGAAUCAAAAAUUUCAAUCAGUUCAUCAUCUUCAUGUUUUGCCGAUCCGAUUAGCUCAUUGUCAUCAUAGUUCGGUUCUUCAAACUCAUCAUCAGUCAGGUCAUUGUCGCUUGCAUCACCAUCCACACGAUAUGGUGGAUCACCAAGAGUCCCGAAAACAUGUUUCGGGUCUCCCAUUGUAGAGAAACCUGAAAAAAUUCAAAAGAAAAAGUAAAAGUAAACAAGUGUUCUAAUGGAUUUAAUCUGGGAUUCGCAACAAAACAAAUCAAAAGUCCCCGGCAACGGCGCCAAAAACUUGAUGCUGUUGUAAACGGGGUUUAAACGGGGUUGGUCGGUUUUACUAAGCUUCAGGUUUUAAAUUUAUAACCCCUAAAUGUCUGCAAGUGCACAGAUGUGCGCUGUAGUACUUAGGGUAUCGAUCCACUUAGACUUAGUUGUUUCAGUACGAAUUCACGCCAAUGCUUAAAUCAGAUUAGAACUAAACAGGUUUGGAUUUUGGUUUUGGGUUUUGGAAUAUUAAGUCAAGUCAAACUAGAAAUGGUUUUGGUGUGUAGACUACUUAAAAAGCAAGAAAAUGAACGAAGAUAAGAAUUUAAACUAAAGACAGAUGCAAAUAAGCAUAUAAGUAAGCAAGAGAGAUAAGCGGUUGUGAAUGGAAUGAUGAGGCAAAGGUCUUAAGUAGGAUAAUGAACUAGGGUGCUUUCCACACUAAACAGCAAGUUAAUGAACCAAUGAUCAAGCAGCUUCAUUUAACAUGAACUCAUUAAAUAGAAUAAUCCUCUCAUGAAGGCAUUAAACUUCUAUGCUAAUCCUCUUUCAAACCAAAAUCCCUUUUGAGAAGCAUGAAUCAGCAAACAUUAAAAAUCAGUUCAAUAAGUCAUUUAAGAGAACAAACUAUCAUUAUCAUGAAGAAAGACUCUUAAACCUCUAACAAACUUGGUUCAGACAUUUCUACAAACACUUUUGAUGCGAGAAUAUAUCUUUGAUCUAGACCACAUGUGAUGUUCAAGGAUCUAACAUAGAGAUCGGUUUGUUAGAGAAUGAAUGAUGCAGAUCUAGAACCUAAACUCGCUAAUCUAGCAUUUCAGCACCCUAAUCUACCUAUCUAAGACCUUAAUAGCGAAACUACUCACUAAUCAUGAAGAGCACACUUAAUCUUUUGCAAGAAGUGAUGCUAGACAUGAUUAGAAGCUUUAAAAUGAUGGAAAGAAAUUAAAAGAACAAGAUAUUUGAUUAAAAAACGAGAUAUCUGAUUAAAGAGACAAGUUUUCACCAAAGAGGCAAGUUCUCAAGGAUAAGAUAAGAGAUAAGUUAAGUAGGGUUUUAGUCCUUAAAACUAUAUAUAGUAAAGCUAAGUGAUGCGGGUCAGCCCGGAACAAACCGGGUACUGAACCGGUUUUGUUGGAUCGUUGGGUGGACACCUUGGUGAGUGAGAGACUGAAGCCGAGGGAUUGAUGUCAAGGGGCUCAGUAUUGCUGAGUCAAAUAUGAAGGAUUCACCAAGAACUCAUGAAGAACCCACCAAGAACCUGCAUGAACCCUAGUCUUUGAUUCAUCUUCUCGUGCACCCGUUAGAACGGCUUUGUUCUUGAUCUGGGUUUGUGGCAAGGGACCUCGGCAUAGAUACACCGUGGGGUCAGGUCGAGGUCUUGAUGCUUUCAUUCGACAACCUUGCACCAUGGUAUAGGCAAGCCGUGGACUUCGCUUGAGGCUUUGAGCACUUUGCUUUGGUGAGAUUCACCUCGGUGUGUGUACACCAAGAGGCUUUGGUCGAGGGGACAAGGAAGAUGGGGUCCAACGUGCAAUGCCGAGGGGUUGAAGCCGAGGUCUAGUUUCACACUUAGACAAAUCUCAAGCCAAGUCGCAUAGAUGCUCAGCUUCAACACUUAGUAAUUUUCAGCUCCAUUUCUUUAGCAUGUGUGCCUUGGUCUUGAUACACCGAGGGGUUAGCACGAGGUCUGGACCAAAAGUUCGGAGACUAGGCCUCGGCUUAGGCAAUGUCGAGGGAACGACACUGAUGCCUGCUAAAAUACUUAGAACAAAUCGCAACUGUUGAAGCUUGUAUCGACCCGCUUGUAUCCUGAUCGCAAUAACUUUCAGCACAUAACUCCAAACGACUUGAAACCAACUCCACAAGAAAGAUCACUCAUUCAUCUCAAACUUUUAUGCAGAAAACAUUGGCACUUAGGAAGUGGAAGGCUCCUCGGACCGCUCAUCUUUGCAUCGCAUUGGAAUGGUAAGAAAACAGCUCCUAGACCCGUGUUCACUCCGGUGACGAUAUCUCUCAAGCCACAUUUCCAAAUCGGAUGAUCUCAGGAUUUCUAGAAAGAAAACUCAAAGACCAUGAAUCUUGAUGAAGGCACCGGAGACUGAAUCGGACUGGAAAGGAAUCGUCCCAUGUAAUCUUUGAAGUUCAUUGGAUAGGCUUAAAAUGCAUGCGAGACAGGUGUGUCUAAAGGUGAACUUAAGUCUUUGCUCACUGCUUCGAAUUCAGUAAUUCCAACUGUUCUGGAACCCUGACUCGAUCAUCUCACUUGGAUGAAGAUCCCGACAACUGAUUCGGACCGGAAGCUCCGGAUUGGCAAUCUUUGAUGUGCGCUGGUGCAAACAGAUUUUAACCGAGAAAUCCUUCCCGCGGUAAGCUUUUUAGCUGAGAAAUAAUCACCGUCUCAGCAUAAAAUUUCACCCGAUAGCGUCUUCACCCAAUACUGACUUUGGUCGAGAGAAAUUCACCAGAUAGCAUUUUUGGCCGAGAAAACUGAUCCAUCCAGUACAUGUUUUUGCCAAGAAAUUCCUUUAAGCCAUUUUCACCAUUUUUGACCUUUUUCUUCACCGUUUCAACUCUGGAUCAAAUAUCUUCUGCUCCAAACAUCCUCAAAAGCACCUGAUAAAGACUCCAAACCAUGCAAAGACUCAUUGGGACCUAAUGCAAACCCUAAGGUCUAAAUCAAUGCUUAAGGACCUAAAUUGCAUGAGAUAAGACAUGAUUUGGACUCUAAAAUGCAAUAUAAAUGAUGCAAGUUGUGAACAUAUCACUAGGAAGGGAGAAAAAGGCAUUUUUGAUCUCUAGGGCCGAGAAAUCUUUCUCCAGGCUACCUCUCUGCACGGCUGAACAUUCAUAACCCAGGGAUGCGGUAAUGUCCUCUCUUCAGUUCUAACCAAAAUCUGCCACUUUCUGUUUGCCUCAAACUCCCGGUCCGCAUUACUAGGAGAGGAUCCGAAAACAGCUCACUCUGUAUCCUGAUUAGUGUUUCAUGUGCUGCCCCAGUUCUCUUUUCCAAGUUAGAGUAAUUAGAUUUGCAAAAGUUUAUAAUAGGAUUCUUAAGAGCCUUGAGCUUGUGAGAAACUCAGAACAUAGCAGAUCCCACCGUGUUAAGGGAAUACCAAUGAUAAAAAACCCAAAGAACAAAAUCAACAUUUUGGACUCAACAUUUUGGAGAAAGCAAUAAAGGACUUGAAAGGCUUCUUCAGCCACUACUGCAGUGGGUUCAGAACAAUACGUGCAGAAGAGUGGUCUGAGAAAUCUGGCUCACCAAAAAUGCCAUAUGCCAAGGGGAAUUGAAAAUCCCACAGGUCUUUUACAAGAAUCGUGUCAAGCUUCUUUGCACUUGGAAUCACCCUUAUCUUAUUCCACCAGGUAAAAGAACAUCCCCUGAACGUUAAAUCCGUAUCUGAAGCAUCAAGAAGGCAAUCUCUAAACUCCUGCGUUUGUUGAUAACACCAUAUUUUGAUCACUUUUAUGGAUUGAUUCAAAGUCUUAUGCAAAUAUUUUAACUCUGUUUUCAAAUAUUUUUAAGUGAUAUCCAUGUUUCAGAGUUUUAAAAUACUUUUUUGGAAACUUAGACUAAAGAAGUGCAAUUUGGAGCAAAUGAACAAUUUUGGAUAAAUUCAGACUAUCAGAAGUAUGGCAAGAGAUGAAUAUCUUCCCACCAUCCGAUCAUCCCCAAAAUUUGAGACAACAUAUAGUAGACUACCAGCUAUCUAAUGCAAUUGGUUUGGAGACAAUCCAACGGUUAGAUCUUCAGAUAUUCCCAAUGGAAAAAAGAUAUAUGAUGUAGUCCUAGAGCAGAGCUGAGGCCACGACCGCAGCUAGACAUGUUUUAUGGCCCGAGAGACCCAAAUAAAGCUCAAGUCAAUCCCGUCACUUAUUGAUGUGAUACUGAGCAGCACUACUUUCGCAGCACUAAACAACUAUCUCUCGCAACCCUGAUCAGUAGGUUUCCACUCUGAUCCUGGAAGUGAGUAGACUCAUCAACAUUCACAACUCAACUAUAGGUAGGUUUCCACUCCUAUGAAUCAUUGCUCGUUUCACCCUAUUUCAGACAAUCAAUGAAAGCUUUCGCAACAUAUCAUAUCAGAUCGGCUUCUAAGUGGCCAGCAAAGAAUCAUGCAGUAAAAUCAAAGGCAAACCAAGAAAAUAUAGAAAAUUAUAAAUCCUAAAUCUAUCAAUUCAUAGAAGAAGACACACAAAAUUCCCUUUGAAAAAUCCCUUUAAAUCCAACUGGGGAAACUACUGAAACAUAUUGUAACAAAGCAUCAUAGAAUAUUGAAAAUUGCAGGAAAUUAAAAAAAACAGGGAAGAAGAAUGAAGAACGGAAUCGCAGAUGGAGGCGCGAUGAUGCUCUCCUCGACAGCUCCUCCUUCAAAGGCGGCGGCCUCCUAGGGUUUCUCACACGAAAAUCUCUAUCUCUCUCUCUAAGUUUGUCUCUCUUUCGAUCCUCUCCCUUUAGAAUGACUUAAAGAGGGUAUUUAUAGCUUUUGGAGUUGUCCUGGACACUUAGGGCUUCAAAAAUAAUAAAGGGAAUCGACUUGGGCUUUAAUUAGGUCGUCUGGGAAGUGAACAACUACUGGCCGCGGUUGCGGUGCUUCACCCGCAGGGAAAUGAGGCUUCACCGCGGUCCCGGCUGAAGCUCUCUUCCGGAACUGCAUUUUCUGUCUUUAUUGCAUCUGGUGUAUUUGAAGAUCUAACCGUUGGAUUGUCUCCAAACCCAGUGCACUAGAAAGCUGGUUGUAUCCUCUAUGUUGUCACAAAUUUUGGGGCGGGGGGGGGGGGUGAUCAGACGUGAGAAGAUCUUCAUCGCUUGCCAUACUUCUGACGGUCUGCAUUUAUCCAAAAUUGCUCAUUUGUUCCAAUUUGCAUAUCUUUUGCCCAAGUUUCCUGAAAAGUCUUUUGAAACUCUAAAACAUUGAAAACAGAGUUAAAACACUUGCAUAAGACAUUAUUAUGAUCCAUAAAAGUGGUCAAAAUACAGUAUUAUCAACUCCCCCAGACUUACCUUUUUAUUUGUCAUCAAACAAACUCAUAUCAAGUCAGGAAAGACUUUUAAAAAUCACAGGAACUAAACAAUAUCUCAGUGACCGUCCUUCUAAACCAUAACUUGUCAUGAAACAUCUAUUUGGAUCUAAUCUAGGAAAUUCUCACCAAAACACAAGAAAAACUAGUCUGUUAAUCCGUCAUGCGAAAAUCUACACACUUAGAUCUAACUUCCAGUCAAUUAGCUCUUUACAUUCAUUAAGUGUAAUAGUGAAUUCUCAUCAAAGUCAUUAUUCAGGGUAGACGCCAUUUGGCAUUAAGGGCUAUUUAGGUGGUGGAGUUAAGUGUUUCCGGUUAUCUGAAUAAUCUGGAGGAUGCAAGAUAUUAUGCAAAACUGCAUGAGAGAGAUGGACCUGUUGGUGACCACAGAUUUUCAGUCACUUCUCCUUUGCCAAAUGUUGUUGCAUAAUCUUCCUCCUUUGUU
rnacentral:lncRNA from 1 species